rnacentral:lncRNA from 1 species
UGAAAGAGCACCUUCCCCACGAAAUCUUCCUGUGCACUAAUCAAGAUGAAAUGCAGACCGGCAUCUUUCGUUGUGGGUUCUAAGAAGAGGUGUUUUAUGAAACAGCAGUUAACCGUGUCCAAAAAUAUCACUUCUAUACCUCAUCUUCAUGAGGCACUGCACCAGCCUGUAUGUAGAUGAAAGAAGAAGAAAAAAGCACCGUGUGCAUUUAAUAUCUUAAUGAUCAA